UCUGUGAUGAGAAGCGGGGAAAUGGUACAGGUAAACUACAAGGUCUACAUUCCUCAAAGAGCUCCCGCUCUUGCCAGGAGACAACUCAAGCGGUGAUUUUGGAGGGCAGAGGACUUGGUGUGGACAACUGGGAUUUUGGUAGUAGUUGUAUCCAGAAUCUGUAAUUGAUUGCUAGUUGAAAGGAACCUUGACUGGUUAUAAAAGUGAAGGCCGAUGGAUGCCAUAUCAGUUGAUCAUACUCUUUGAAUAACUGGAUGUUUAUCAACACCUGACAGCUCAUUAAUAAGUUCUAAAAUUCAGUACAAUUUUGCAUUUGAA